rnacentral:rRNA from 1 species
CUAUUCCUGUGGUAGGAGAGCGUCGAUGACGCAGCGAAGCCGCACCGGCGAGGAGCGGUGGAGCGUCAUCGAGUGCGUAUGCCGGAACGAGUAACGACAAGAUGGGUGGGAAGCCCAUCCGCCGAAAGCACAAGGUUUCCUGGGGAAGGUCAAUCCGCCCAGGGUCAGUCGGGACCUAAGGCGAGGCCCAAGGGCGUAGCCGAUGGGCACGCGGUUAAUAUUCCGCGACCCGAUGCGAAGGUUGAUGGCAGCAGGACGCCGGGACGAGUGGGAUCGGGGCGCUAGAUACCCCCGUACCGCAAGGUCGAUGGCACUUCGAUCCAGAAGUCUCAUGACAUCCCGGCCACGAAAAGCCGCUGCCGGACGACGUAUCGGCCCGUACCGCAAUCCGACACAGGUGUGCUAGGCGAGUAUCCGAAGGCGUUCGGGAGAACCCUCGUGAAGGAACUCGGCAAAAUGACCCCGUACCUUCGGUAUAAGGGGUGCUCAUCGGGCGACCGAUGAGCCGCAGGAAUCGGCUCUAGCGACUGUUUAUCAAAAACACAGGACUCUGCCAACUCGCAAGAGGACGUAUAGAGUCUGACGCCUGCUCGGUGUCGGUAGGUUAAGGGAGCCGGUGAGCGAAAGCGAAGCUGGCGACCGAAGCCCCGAUAAACGGCGGCCGUAACUAUGACGGUCCUAAGGUACCGAAGUUCCUUGUCGGGUAAGUUCCGACCUGCAUGAAUGGCGUAACGACUGGAGCGCUGUCUCCACGAGGGACCCGGUGAAACUGUAGCCGUGGUGAAGAUGCCACGUACCCGCGGUCAGACGGAAAGACCCCGCGAACCUUUACUGCAGGUUGGCAUUGGCCCGACGUGCACUCUGUGUAGCAUAGCUGGGAGGCGACGAGGCGGGGGCGCCAGCCCUCGCGGAGCCACCGGUGAAAUACCAGCCUGAGUGGACGUCGUGCCUCACCGAGGCGUAGCCCGCCUCGGGACCAUGCUCAUCGGGCAGUUUGACUGGGGCGGUCUCCUCCCAAACGGUAACGGAGGAGUGCAACGGUGCCCUCGGCCCGGUCGGCAAUCGGGCAACGCGAGCGCAAACGUACAAGGGCGCCUGACUGCGAGUCCGAUCGGACGAGCAGGGACGAAAGUCGGCGUUAGUGAUCCGGCGGUCCGGCAUGGAACGGCCGUCGCUCAACGGAUAAAAGGUACUCCGGGGAUAACAGGCUGAUCUCCCCCGAGCGUCCCUAGCGGCGGGGAGGUUUGGCACCUCGAUGUCGGCUCAUCGCAUCCUGGGGCUGGAGAAGGUCCCAAGGGUUUGGCUGUUCGCAAAUAAAAGCGGUACGCGAGCUGGGUUCAGACCGUCGUGAGACAGGUCGGUCCCUAUCUGCCGUGGGCGUAGGAAGCUUGAGGAGCGUCUCCCCUAGUACGAGAGGAUUGGGGAGGACCGACCUCUGGUGUGCCGGCUGUCCCGCUCGGGGCAUCGCCGGGUAGCCAGGUCGGGACCGGAUAAGCGCUGAAGGCAUCUAAGCGCGAAGCCCCCUCCGAGACCAGGCUUCCGAGGGCAAUUUGCCCUGAAGGCUCCUGGAAGACGACCAGGUCGAUAGGCCGGGCGUGCACGGUCCGCGAGGACCGCAGCCGACCGGUCCUAACAGCCGAGCGGCCCGACC